rnacentral:rRNA from 1 species
UGUAUGAAGUCGGAAUUGCUAGUAAUCGCGGAUCAGCAUGCCGCGGUGAAUACGUUCCCGGGCCUUGUACACACCGCCCGUCACACCAUGAGAGUCGGGAACACCCGAAGUCCGUAGUCUAACCGCAAGGAGGGCGCGGCCGAAGGUGGGCUUGAUAAUCGGGGUGAAGUCGUAACAAGGUAAC